GGGGUUUUAGCUCAGUGGUAGAGCGCUUGCCUAGGAAGCGCAAGGCCCUGGGUUCGGUCCCCAGCCCCG
rnacentral:tRNA from 1 species